GGUGGAUGUAGCUCAGUUGGUUAGAGCGCUGGAUUGUGGUUCCAGAGGUCGGCGGUUCGAACCCGCUCUUCCACCC
rnacentral:tRNA from 1 species